CCCGUAACGAGCGCUUCCCUUGUCCUUAGUUACCAGCACUUUAUGGUGGGCACUCUAAGGAGACUGCCGGUGACUAACCGGAGGAAGGUGGGGAUGACGUCAAGUCAUCAUGGCCCUUACGGCCAGGGCUACACACGUGCUACAAUGGUCGGUACAAAGGGUUGCCAAGCCGCGAGGUGGAGCUAAUCCCAUAAAACCGAUCGUAGUCCGGAUCGCAGUCUGCAACUCGACUGCGUGAAGUCGGAAUCGCUAGUAAUCGUGAAUCAGAACGUCACGGUGAACACGUU
rnacentral:rRNA from 1 species